UCCUGCUUAUUUCUUUCCUUCUUUUGUCCUUUUAUUUAUUUGUGUCUCUGUCGAUCGUCCUCUUGUGGGUCCUAUCCUCCAGACGUCCCUCAACCUUCCUCCUCUGAUGGAGUCAGAACCAGCUUCCUGAUCGUCUGACAGAAUAAAUUGGAAUCUGCCUUUGAUACCUCAGCCUGUUUCUGUUGCCAGUCUCUCCUUUGGACUCUCUGAUUCUUCAGAUGGACGGCCUGCUCCUUCACUUCCUGCCCAUAACCAUCACUGGUUUGGUUUUCUGUCUUCUCCUGACUCACUACUGUAAAGAUGAUGCUGCUGUUCCCAUCAACACUGGUUUGGCUG